UCGGAUGAAAGAGCUUGCUCUCUGAUUCAUCGGCGGACGGGUGAGUAAUGCCUAGAAUCUGCCUAUUAGUGGGGGACAACGUUUCGAAAGGAACGCUAAUACCGCAUACGUCCUACGGGAGAAAGCAGGGGACCUUCGGGCCUUGCGCUAAUAGAUGAGCCUAGGUCGGAUUAGCUAGUUGGUGAGGUAAAGGCUCACCAAGGCGACGAUCCGUAACUGGUCUGAGAGGAUGAUCAGUCACACUGGAACUGAGACACGGUCCAGACUCCUACGGGAGGCAGCAGUGGGGAAUAUUGGACAAUGGGCGAAAGCCUGAUCCAGCCAUGCCGCGUGUGUGAAGAAGGUCUUCGGAUUGUAAAGCACUUUAAGUUGGGAGGAAGGGCAGUAAGUUAAUACCUUGCUGUUUUGACGUUACCGACAGAAUAAGCACCGGCUAACUUCGUGCCAGCAGCCGCGGUAAUACGAAGGGUGCAAGCGUUAAUCGGAAUUACUGGGCGUAAAGCGCGCGUAGGUGGUUCGUUAAGUUGGAUGUGAAAGCCCCGGGCUCAACCUGGGAACUGCAUCCAAAACUGGCGAGCUAAGUAUGGCAGAGGGUGGUGGAAAUUUCUGUGUAGCGGUGAAAUGCGUAAUAUAGGAAGGAACCCAGUGGCGAA
rnacentral:rRNA from 2 species